CUCCACAAGUACGUCGAAAGAAGCACAUUGCCACCAAAUGGCUCAUUGGCUCGGCAUCAUCACUGGCUUUGAGGAGAAGAGGGAAAAGAUGAUGUAGAAACACGAAAGCUGGCCAGCUACAAACCCUAAGAUGGAAGACGUGGCGUGACUGAGUGUCGCGGACGACAAGGACCGCAGCGAGUAGGACGGCUGAGAAGUAGACAGCGGCGCAGCUGAGAAGCGGAUGAUGGCUUGACCGAGAGUUGGAGGAAAUGGCGGCGCUUGCGAUGAUUCUUCCUCUAUGUGAGCGCAAUGGCGGCGUAAGAGAGCACCUUCGAAGAUAGAAGCUUUGAACAGAGCACGAAAGAGGGAGACACCGAGACAAGGAGCACCUUCGAACGGGACAGUGGCUGCGGUGGAACAGAGCUAGCGCCAGCAGAACCGUGGCUGCGCGAAAGGGAGGGACUGAGCUCGCCGGCGUUGAGAGAAACGGCUAGCUCGUGGGUGAUGGCAGGGACGAGGCAGGGUGUGCUGCUGCGCCGUUGGAGAGUUGGAGUGAGUUAGGGUUGGUAACGUAGGAAUUGCGUGUUCGCGGUGCGGUUUGGUUCGGUUUUUGAGAGAAAGGUCAUCCGAUCCGAUCGUCUAAUUAAACUGCGGUUCGGUUUGUUCGGUUUUUUCAAUCAAUUCAAAAAAAUACUACCAUACUUGUCUGGUCUGACACAGCUAGCACUGAAUGUUUGUUUAAAUUGAAGUAAUCCCAAAUACAAGCCUAACAUAAUUUUUAACCAGGAAAAGAAAAGAAA